rnacentral:rRNA from 1 species
GACGAACGCUGGCGGCGUGCUUAACACAUGCAAGUCGAACGGAAAGGCCCUGCUUUUGUGGGGUGCUCGAGUGGCGAACGGGUGAGUAACACGUGAGUAACCUGCCCUUGACUUUGGGAUAACUUCAGGAAACUGGGGCUAAUACCGGAUAGGAGCUCCUGCUGCAUGGUGGGGGUUGGAAAGUUUCGGCGGUUGGGGAUGGACUCGCGGCUUAUCAGCUUGUUGGUGGGGUAGUGGCUUACCAAGGCUUUGACGGGUAGCCGGCCUGAGAGGGUGACCGGCCACAUUGGGACUGAGAUACGGCCCAGACGCCUACGGGAGGCAGCAGUGGGGAAUAUUGCACAAUGGGCGGAAGCCUGAUGCAGCAACGCCGCGUGCGGGAUGACGGCCUUCGGGUUGUAAACCGGUUUCGCCGGUGACGAAGCGUGAGUGACGGUAAUGGGUAAAGAAGCACCGGCUAACUACGUG